AUUGAACGCUGGCGGCAGGCCUAACACAUGCAAGUCGAGCGAGCGGCGGACGGGGGAGUAAUGCCUAGGAAUUUGCACGGUAGUGGGGGAUACAGUCCGGAGACGGGACCUAAUACAGCAUACUAUCAGAUGAGCCUCGGUCGGAUUAGCUAGUAGGUGGGGUAACGGCUCACCUAGGCGACGAUCCCUAGCUGGUCUGAGAGGAUGACCAGCCACACUGGAACUGAGACACGGUCCAGACUCCUACGGGAGGCAGCAGUGGGGAAUAUUGCACAAUGGGCGCAAGCCUGAUGCAGCCAUGCCGCGUGUGUGAAGAAGGCCUUCGGGUUGUAAAGCACUUUCAGCGGGGAGGCGUUACCCGCAGAAGAAGCACCGGCUAACUCCGUGCCAGCAGCCGCGGUAAUUC
rnacentral:rRNA from 1 species